GACGAUAUAUCGAGACCAAACGAUCUUGUAUCGUCAUUUGACAGUGAAGGUCGACUCGCACGGUGCAAUCAAAUCUCCCCCAGCACAAGCUUCUACAAUGGCCCUUGAAGGUACUCACUCUACAACCACCGUUGCCCUAGUUGUCGCAGCUAGCGCUGUUGUCGCAUUUUUGGUGGGCUACAAACUCGGACAGAAAGGUUGCUGUUCAAAGAAAUGAUCUUUUAGCCCGUUUUAGGUCAAGCUGCUAUUGCGUGGAUCGAGUAUGUGGCACAUGAAUGCAGAGGACACACGAAAUGAUAUCUGUGAUAUAAAAGCUCUAUGACAACGUGUGAAUGAUUGCAGGCGGAUGAAUUAUUUUUAUGAAUGAAAUACUUUCUUCGAUAUGUGACGGAUGGUCUAAUACAAUUUUUAAGUAAAAAUA